rnacentral:piRNA from 2 species
UUAGAGCAUUGUGAAUGGACUAAGAGGC